ACGGGAGGCAGCAGCUAAGAAUCUUCCGCAAUGGUCGAAAGACUGACGGAGCGACGCCGCGUGAAUGAUGAAGGCCGUGAGGUUGUAAAGUUCUUUUCUGGAGGGAGAAUAAGUCGGGUAGGGAAUGACCUGAUGAUGACGUGAAUCCAGGAAUAAGCCCCGGCUAACUACGUGCCAGCAGCCGCGGUAACACGUAGGGGGCGAGCGUUGUUCGGAAUUAUUGGGCGUAAAGGGCGCGUAGGCGGCUUAGCAAGUCUGCUGUUAAAUGGUUGAGCUUAACUCAAUCAAGCGGUGGAAACUACUGAGCUAGAGUUAAUGAGGGGAUGUCGGAAUUCCAGGUGUAGGGGUGAAAUCUGUAGAUAUCUGGAAGAACACCAAUAGCGAAGGCAGACAUCUGGCAACUAACUGACGCUGAGACGCGAAGGUGCGGGGAGCAAACAGGAUUAGAUACCCUGGUA
rnacentral:rRNA from 1 species